AACGAACGCUGGCGGCAUGCCUAACACAUGCAAGUCGAACGAGACCUUCGGGUCUAGUGGCGCACGGGUGCGUAACGCGUGGGAACCUGCCCUUAGGUUAGGAAUAACUCCCCGAAAGGGGUGCUAAUACCGGAUAAUGUCUUCGGACCAAAGAUUUAUCGCCUUUGGAUGGGCCCGCGUUGGAUUAGCUAGUUGGUAGGGUAAAAGCCUACCAAGGCGACGAUCCAUAGCUGGGCUGAGAGGAUGAUCAGCCACACUGGGACUGAGACACGGCCCAGACUCCUACGGGAGGCAGCAGUGGGGAAUAUUGGACAAUGGGCGAAAGCCUGGUCCAGCAACGCCGCGUGAGUGAUGAAGGCCUUAGGGUAGUAAAGCUCUUUUACCCGGGAUGAUAAUGACAGUACCGGGAGAAUAAGCUCCGGCUAACUCCGUG
rnacentral:rRNA from 1 species